GCAUAACUGUAAACACCGAUAGCAAUUUACCCGCAAUCCGCCAGGGAACUACAAGCAUUGGCUUGAAACCCAAAGGACUUGGCGGUGCUUUAGACCCACCUAGAGGAGCCUGUUCUAGAACUGAUAACCCCCGUUCAACCUCACCCUGCUUUGUCAUACCCGCCUAUAUACCGCCGUCGUCAGCUUACCUUGUGAAAGAUUAUAAGUGAGCAAGAUUGGUACAACCCAAAACGUCAGGUCGAGGUGUAGUGUAUAGCAGGGGAAGAAAUGGGCUACAUUUAUCUACUGAUAAACACGGAUUAUUUAUUGAAAAAUAAAACUGAAGGAGGAUUUAGCAGUAAGAAGAAAAUAGAGAGUUCUUCUGAAACAGGCUCUGAAGCGCGC
rnacentral:rRNA from 1 species